AACGAACGCUGGCGGCAGGCUUAACACAUGCAAGUCGAGCGCAUCCUUCGGGGUGAGCGGCGGACGGGUGAGUAACGCGUGGGAACGUGCCCUCUUCUACGGAAUAGCCUCGGGAAACUGAGAGUAAUGCCGUAUACGCCCGCAAGGGGAAAGAUUUAUCGGAGGAGGAUCGGCCCGCGUUGGAUUAGGUAGUUGGUGGGGUAACGGCCUACCAAGCGGACGAUCCAUAGCUGGUUUGAGAGGAUGAUCAGCCACACUGGGACUGAGACACGGCCCAGACUCCUACGGGAGGCAGCAGUGGGGAAUCUUGGACAAUGGGGGCAACCCUGAUCCAGCCAUGCCGCGUGAUCGAUGAAGGCCUUAGGGUUGUAAAGAUCUUUCAGCUGGGAAGAUAAUGACGGUACCAGCAGAAGAAGCCCCGGCUAACUCCGUG
rnacentral:rRNA from 1 species